CGUGUAGGCGGUCAGGUAAGUGGAAUGUGAAAUGCCCCGGCUCACCCGGGGACCGGCAUCCCAAACUGCCUGGCUUGAGUAUGGGAGAGGAUGGAGGAAUUCCUGGUGUAGCGGUGAAAUGCGUAGAUAUCAGGAGGAACACCGGUGGCGAAGGCGUCCAUCUGGCCCAAUACUGACGCUGAGGCGCGAAAGCUAGGGGGGCAAACGG
rnacentral:rRNA from 1 species